AUGAAUCCUGAAUCGGUAUUCAGUCCAGCAGCACUACCAUGGAGCUACCUCGCCUGCGGCCUCUUGGGCCUGGCGCUCCUGUGGCCGACCACCCGGCUGCUAGACCAGCUAUGGUGGCGGCCGAGGCGGCUGGAGCAGGCUCUUCGCGCACAGGGCCUCCGUGGGACGUCGUACCGUUUCCUCCUCGGCGACAUGAGCGACUACGGCAGGCAGAACAAGGAGGCGUGGUCGAAGCCUCUGCCGCUGCGCUGCCACGACAUCGGUGCCCACGUCUUGCCUUUCCUCUACAGCACCGUCGAGGAGCACGGCAAGCAGUGCAUCUCCUGGUUCGGUCCGGUUCCCAAGGUGAGCAUCACCGAUCCUAACCUGGUCAGGGAGAUCAUGUCCAACAAGUUCGGGCACAUCCAGAAGGUCAAGUUCCCGGCACUGUCCAAGCUCCUCGCCGUAGGCGUGGCGACCCACGAGGGCGAGAAAUGGGUCAAGCACAGAAGGAUACUCAACCCUGCGUUCCAUGUCGAGAAGCUCAAGAUCAUGUUGCCAGCCUUCUCUUUGUGUUGUGAAGAGCUUGUCAACAAAUGGACACAGUCCCUUGGUCCCGACGGGUCAUGCGAGGUGGAUGCUUCCCUAGAGCUCCAGAGCCUCACCGGAGAUGUCAUCUCACGCACCGCAUUCGGCAGCAGUUAUCUCGAAGGAAGAAGGAUUUUUCAACUGCAGUCUGAGCAGGUCGGACGGUUCAUGGCAGCCAUUCACAAGAUCAUGAUUCCCGGUUACAUGUCCUUCCCUACUAAAAAUAAUCGAAGGAUGCGCCAAAUUAACAACGAGAUAGAGUCCAUUCUACGAGGUCUAAUUGGGAAAAGGAUGCAAGCUAUGCAAGAAGGAGAAAGCACAAAUGAUGACUUACUCGGCUUAUUGCUCGAGUCAAACAAGACUGACGUAAAUGAAAAUGGCCAAUCCGUUCCAGGAAUGUCCACUGAAGAGGUAAUAGAGGAGUGCAAGCUGUUCUACUUUGCAGGAAUGGAGACGACAUCAAUAUUACUCACAUGGACGAUGGUCGUACUUAGCAUGCACCCAGAGUGGCAGGACCGUGCAAGGGAGGAGGUUCUUGGCCUAUUUGGAAAACAUAAGCUUGACUACGAGGCUCUUAAUCGACUCAAAACUGUGACAAUGAUUCUUUAUGAAGUUCUCCGGUUGUACCCACCGGCUAGUGCGUUCACCCGGCAGACAUACAAGGAGAUUGAGAUCAGAGGCAUCAGGUACCCACCUGGUGUGAUUUUCGAGAUGUCCGUGUUGCACAUCCACCACGACAAGGAUAUCUGGGGAGACGACGUCCACCAAUUCAGGCCCGAUAGGUUCGCUGAGGGGAUCUCCAAGGCUUCCAAGGAACCGGGAGCAUUUUUCCCGUUCGGAUGGGGGCCACGGAUCUGUAUCGGUCAGAAUUUUGCACUGCUUGAGGCCAAGAUGGCAUUGUGCAUGAUUCUUCGGCGCUUUGAGUUUAAGCUCGCGGGGUCGUAUACUCAUGCGCCACAUACCGUAAUGAUGUUGCGUCCCAUGCAUGGUGCUCAAAUUAAGCUGCGGGCGAUCUCUUCGUAG
rnacentral:rRNA from 1 species